GACGUAGGGUGCAAGCGUUAUCCGGAUUUACUGGGCGUAAAGCGCACGUAGGCGGCUUUGUAAGUUAGAGGUGAAAGCCCGGGGCUCAACUCCGGAAUUGCCUUUAAGACUGCAUCGCUAGAAUUGUGGAGAGGUAAGUGGAAUUCCGAGUGUAGAGGUGAAAUUCGUAGAUAUUCGGAAGAACACCAGUGGCGAAGGCGACUUACUGGACACAUAUUGACGCUGAGGUGCGAAAGCGUGGGGAGCAAACAGG
rnacentral:rRNA from 1 species